CAAAAAAUGCAUUAUCCCCCAGCCUUGAGGCAAGGCGGGUGUCCAAUUGAGCUGGUUGAGGCCCUGAAAGCCAGGCCUUGCUGCUGCUAUUCGUUCCUGAGAGUGAGGCGGGGGAGGAAAGGCGGCCUUCUUCUCUGGCUUCUCCACAGAGGAGAGAAGGCCCGGUCCGCUCGGCCCAAGCAGGCCGCCUCGUCCGGGUUGUGCAGGCCUGGCAGCCCGAGGCCGGAGUAGGCCGAGCCGGGCGGAGGGAAGAGGGAGGGAGGGAGAGAGGGAGGCGGCGCCCUGAGAGGCGGCAGCAGCAGCAGCAGCGGCAGUGUCAAGUACGAAGCGCUGCGCUACGUGCCGAAUGACGCGGCCCGCCUGCCACGACUCGCGGCGUCACGGGAGAGCCGCGGAUGAGCCGCGCGAAGGCCCCGCCGCCUGGGCCUGCUCGGUAGUCGGGCUUAAAGGCUAGAAGAAAUAAAAGAAGAAGGAAAAAAGAACAAAAGAAAGACUUAAGUACACCGAAAUAUUUUGUAUAUUGCAUGCUUUUGCAGUGACAAAAAGAAAACUAAUGACAGAUAUUUCUAGAACUUGUCUAAUUUCUUCAUCUACUUUUUAAAAACCAAGCAUUUUUUACAAAUGUAUUUAAGAUGUCAAUAACUUUUAAUAUCAUGCUUUCAUUGGGCAUUUUGCUUUUGUUACUCCUUUCUAUUUCCAAAUAACUAGAUUUAAUUUCCCUUUGGCUGUACAAGAUAAUUUUCAUUUAAACUUUGACUGUAAGCCCUUCAAAGGUUUAUGAUGAAUAUUGCCAAACUUAGUCCAAGCUUUUUGUUUAUGAUACAAAGUCACACAUGUGUUAAAAUUAUUGUGUUUUCAAUGAUUCUACUGAGUUGAGUUUUACUUUGGGUUUUGUUGUUUUAUGCCAUAUUUAUUAAAUAAACACACCAAGUCAUUGUU